UACGUAGGGGGCAAGCGUUGCCCGGAUUUAUUGGGCGUAAAGAGCGUGUAGGCGGCCUGACAGGUCUGCUGUGAAAACUCGAGGCUCAACCUCGAGAUGUCGGCGGAAACCGUCUGGCUAGAGUCCGGAAGAGGAGAGUGGAAUUCCUGGUGUAGCGGUGAAAUGCGCAGAUAUCAGGAAGAACACCUAUGGCGAAGGCAGCUCUCUGGGACGGUACUGACGCUGAGACGCGAAAGCGUGGGGAGCGAACAGG
rnacentral:rRNA from 1 species